rnacentral:rRNA from 1 species
AUUGAACGCUGGCGGCAUGCCUUACACAUGCAAGUCGAACGGCAGCGCGGGAGCAAUCCUGGCGGCGAGUGGCGAACGGGUGAGUAAUAUAUCGGAACGUGCCCAGUAGUGGGGGAUAGCCUGGCGAAAGCCGGAUUAAUACCGCAUACGACCUGAGGGUGAAAGCGGGGGAUCGCAAGACCUCGCGCUAUUGGAGCGGCCGAUAUCAGAUUAGCUAGUUGGUGGGGUAAAGGCCUACCAAGGCAACGAUCUGUAGUUGGUCUGAGAGGACGACCAGCCACACUGGGACUGAGACACGGCCCAGACUCCUACGGGAGGCAGCAGUGGGGAAUUUUUGGACAAUGGGCGCAAGCCUGAUCCAGCAAUGCCGCGUGCAGGAAGAAGGC